GCCAGUGUGGUGUAGUGGUUAGCGUGCUGGAUUAGGACUCGGGACGCCCAGGAUUCAAAUCCCCAUUCAGCCA